rnacentral:rRNA from 1 species
AAAAAAAAAAACCCAAAAAAGAAAUGG